UUCCUCUUUCCUCAGUUCAUCUCCUAAACCCCAGGGGACUGAGUUCCAGGGCCGGGUCGACAUUGAAGACCAAAUGCUGCACAGUGUGCAUCCUGGGAGCCUGUGGCUCCUUUCACCACUGAUAGUUUUGCUGCUGCUGGCUGCUACAGGCAGAGGAGCUGCAGCUCUCCCGAAGGCGGUGCUGAGCCUCGAGCCCCCGUGGAUCAACCUGCUCCGGGGUGACAGCGUAACCCUGAGCUGCCAGGGGCCC